rnacentral:rRNA from 1 species
UACGAAGGGGGCUAGCGUUGCUCGGAAUCGCUGGGCGUAAAGCGCACGUAGGCGGAUCUUUAAGUCAGGGGUGAAAUCCUGGAGCUCAACUCCAGAACUGCCUUUGAUACUGGGGAUCUCGAGUCCGGGAGAGGUGAGUGGAACUCCGAGUGUAGAGGUGAAAUUCGUAGAUAUUCGGAAGAACACCAGUGGCGAAGGCUGCUCACUGGCCCGGUACUGACGCUGAGGUGCGAAAGCGUGGGGAGCAAACAGG